rnacentral:misc_RNA from 1 species
CAGAUUGAGAAUAUAAACUUGAUAAUACCACAUAAUGAGCUGGAUUUCCUCGCUCAAUUUUGACAAGAUGCUUCAAAGCAACUUCUGCUAUCUCAAUAUUAGAAUGCAUUCUAGAUGCAUCCAACAAGGCCCCCCAAACUCCACCAUCUGGUUCCAUAGGCAUAGUGUUGAGUAGAUCCAUAAUUUCAUUAAACAAGCCAGCACGUCCUAACAUGUCUACCAGACAGGCAUAGUGUUCCACAUCUGG